CCUACGGGGGGCUGCAGUGGGGAAUAUUGCACAAUGGGCGCAAGCCUGAUGCAGCCAUGCCGCGUGUGUGAAGAAGGCCUUCGGGUUGUAAAGCACUUUCAGCGGGGAGGAAGGCGUUAAGGUUAAUAACCUUGGCGAUUGACGUUACCCGCGGAAGAAGCACCGGCUAACUCCGAGCCAGCAGCCGCGGUAAUACGGAGGGUGCAAGCGUUAAUCGGAAUUACUGGGCGUAGAGCGCACGCAGGCGGUCUGUCAAGUCGGAUGUGAAAUCCCCGGGCUCAACCUGGGAACUGCAUUCGAAACUGGCAGGCUAGAGUCUUGUAGAGGGGGGCAGAAUUCCAGGUGUAGCGGUGAAAUGCGUAGAGAUCUGGAGGAAUACCGGUGGCGAAGGCGGCCCCCUGGACAAAGACUGACGCUCAGGUGCGAAAGCGUGGGGAGCAAACAGGAUUAGAUACCCGUGUAGUC
rnacentral:rRNA from 1 species